rnacentral:rRNA from 1 species
CCUACGGGAGGCAGCAGUGGGGAAUAUUGCGCAAUGGGCGAAAGCCUGACGCAGCGACGCCGCGUGAGGGAUGAAGGUCUUCGGAUCGUAAACCUCUGUCAGCAGGGAAGAACGGUCACUGUGCUAAUCAGCAGUGAAUUGACGGUACCUGCAAAGGAAGCACCGGCUAACUCCGUGCCAGCAGCCGCGGUAAUACGGAGGGUGCGAGCGUUAGUCGGAAUUACUGGGCGUAAAGCGCUCGUAGGCGGUAUGUCAAGGCAAGGGGGGAAUCCCCGCGCUCAACGGGGGAACUGCCUUUGAAACUGGCAGACUGGAGUGUGUGAGAGGAUAGUGGAAUUCCAGGUGUAGGAGUGAAAUCCGUAGAUAUCUGGAGGAACAUCAGUGGCGAAGGCGACUAUCUGGCACAUAACUGACGCUGAGGAGCGAAAGCGUGGGUAGCAAACAGGAUUAGAUACCCCUGUAGUC